UUUCGCAGUGUGCGUUGUUCGCCGCGCACACUGUGAACGUGGUGUAGCGGAAUUCGUAUACGAUUCGAUUUUACAAGCACACUCGUUCCGUUUUUGAGGCAGAGAACAACAGCAAAUAUAGUAAUUUUAAAUGCAAGCGGUUUUAUGCAGUUAUGGUUUCUAAAAUGUGGUCUUAUAUUAUUUAAACAAAAACAGAAAACGAAAUCAAUUUCACGUUUAUUGUCUGCGGGCUUUUGAUGUUGAUUACCAAGAAUGCAAUGCCAAGACCAAAGAAAGAUAAAUACAAAAUCAAAAAUCAAUUAAAAACUAAAACCUAGAUGUGUAAACAUCUUGACACGAACCAUUCCCAAUCAACAAAAUUUGUCUAUGGAACACUUGUUCGACAGUCGGUUCACCAAUAUGGUUUGUACUAUCGAAUGUUCAGUAAAUAAAACCUAACGUUUACCUUA